rfam:Schistosoma curassoni strain Dakar, Senegal genome assembly, scaffold: SCTD_scaffold0017189
AUGCAGCUGAUGAGUCCCAAAUAAGACGAGACGCGCGUCGUGGAU